rnacentral:rRNA from 1 species
AGAGCGAACGCUGGCGGCAGGCCUAACACAUGCAAGUCGAGCGGCCGUAGCAAUACGGCAGCGGCAGACGGGAUAGUAACACGUGGGAACGCGCCCUUCGGUUCGGAAUAACUCAGGGAAACUUGAGCUAAUACCGGAUACGCCCUUACGGGGAAAGAUUUAUUGCCGAAGGAACGGCCCGCGUCCGAUUAGCUAGUUGGUGAGGUAAUGGCUCACCAAGGCUACGAUCGGUAGCUGGUCUGAGAGGAUGAUCAGCCACACUGGGACUGAGACACGGCCCAGACUCCUACGGGAGGCAGCAGUAGGGAAUCUUGCGCAAUGGGCGAAAGCCUGACGCAGCCAUGCCGCGUGAAUGAUGAAGGUCUUAGGAUUGUAAAAUUCUUUCAGCGGGACGAUAAUGACGGUACCCGCAGAAGAACGCCCGGCUAACUUCGCGCCAGCAGCCGC